UUAAGGUGUAUUUUAUUUUCUUAAGUUGUUCUCCCGCGGUUUUCCUGUGGGUGUCGCUAUCUGACAAGGCCUGGUUUUUACUUGUGUUGGCUAGUAAGCAACUGAGCAUUGAGCACAUUGAGCAUCUUUAAUCUGUGCAAUCCUUCCUUUUCCUCGUUCCUUGGUGUGCGUCCAGGCACAUCAGUGAAUGAUUACAAGUAGGUGAACUGUUAUACAGGUGUAUUUCGUCUGUUUAGUUCCUUUUGAGACGUUUGUGGAUUCGUUAGCAUAUUAGCAUCGAUCGCUAACGGUCGCUAUCGCUAACGGGCGCUAAUGGAGUGGUUUAUAUGUGCAUUGUUUAUGUUUUUAUACCUUCGCGAUGCAUGUAGGAUGUGGAUGUUGCAUGACCUGAGUUAUUUCCUGUGUUAAAUUGAGAUUGUGUUAAAUUUGUAUUGUAAACUGGUAUUGGGGAAAAUUAGUAUUGGAGACUGUGAUGUCAUCAGACGGUAGUUCACGUUACGGCCGCUAGAUGACCUCAUUUGACCAUUUAUUGUCAGCUAAGUCAGUCAUUGUAUGCUUUUUGGUUAAUGUGUGCAUUUGGCUGUAUUUUCUUGAUUAAUUUGAAAUGCAUGAUAAUAAUUGAGUUUAUUCCUUUUUUCCUUUUAUUGUUUCAGACUGGUUUUAUACCUGGGUUUAUACUUCACGUCCUGUGGAGUUAAAUUCCUCAUUUGUACAUCAAGGAAUAUUUGGACAAUUUAAGGCAAAUUAAAGCCAUUCUAAAGCAGCAGUGGUUUCAACGCCUUUUUUCCUGUGCUCUGACCGGCACACCAUCCUGGCUACAGUUAGUCCUUACCACGAACUAGCCCUAGAACCUCACCUCACGAACAUUUUGGUCCUUCGAGCCGGAUAAUUGUAAUCAGGAUGGACCCAGUGGAAGAAGUGAACCCUGCUGUGAGACCUAAGAGACAAACCCGGCCUCCUCCUGCGCUUCGCGACUAUGAAGUGGAUUACAUAGGAAGCCACUCACGAGCUGGACCACCACAACCCUUCUUGGAGUACCAAGCUCAAGCCACCCCAUUCCGGACACCUCCCCACCGUCGAUCUUAUGGGAAUGCUGCUCACCUCGAGACGCCUCAGCUAGCCCCAAGUCGUCAUCGGUGGACCAACGCAGAAUGGGACAACCUGCAUGGAACCCCAUCUAGAGCAUCACCUUUGGACAGCUCAUAUGACAGCUACCACCACUUUCCUCAAGCGCUCCAAGCAAUGCAGGAGGAAAAUGCAAAGUUGCACCAAUCACAACAGUGGCUCAAGUCAGGCAUGCAGCAACUUAAUGAAGCCCGAAAUGAGAUCAAGGAACUGAUAGACAUUGCCCGCUCUUUGAAGACGGACAUGGCUCAACCUCCUCGCACUGCUGCGAUACCAGAGCAUCCCUCCAGUGCUGUAGCGCCAAUUAGCUACUCCCUCCAAGCAGACCUUCGGGAAGAACAUGAUUUGCCUCCUCCACCCUGGCCUAAGCUUGAACCAGAUCUGCCAAGUAACAGACAGUUCCAUCAAAGAGAAGAUGUCACCAAUCAGUUCCUUCACGUCUCCUCUCCUCAAGAACAAGCGCACGACUUCGAAUGGCCUGCUCCACCUCCUCCGUGUUCGAUGCCCGCUCCAGCAAACCCCAUGACAUGGCCUUCAACACGACCAGCUCAGCACCCUUCAAACCUUUACAGUCGUCCUCCUAGUAGCCAUGUGUUACCCAUGAUAUCAGAGUCAGUCUAUAGAGGGCCAAAUCCCACUAUUCCAAAGUUCAGCAACCCAGACCCUAGUGAGUUCGCAAGACUGCGUAUAGCACUAGAAAACCUGCUUCCAGGCAAUGCCACCGAGCUGUUCCGUUACCAAAUCCUGGUAGAUCACCUUAGGUUGGAAGAAGCCAGGCUUAUUGCUGACGCCUAUUUGAACUCACCCACUCCGUACUCUGAUACCAUGGCAGCCCUCCAUGAAAAGUUUGGUCAACCGCAUCAACUUGCCCUUCGCAAAAUAGCUGCUGUCCUAGAAGCCCCGGAGGUCAAGCGAGGUGACAUUGCCGCAUUUCAAAAGUUUUCUCUCCAGAUACAAUCCUUGGUGGGCCUGUUGCAGACCCUCGGUCCAGCUGGGGAAAUCGAACUGAAGUGUGGCUCGCACGUGGCACGCCUAUUAAGCAAGCUUCCUGCCGAACAGCGUGCAGACUUUCGAAGACACACUUUCAAGCAGUCAGGAAUUAGCCACACCCUCUGUGACCUGUCUAAGUGGCUUCGUUAUGAGUCGUGGUGUCAGGGGUUCGACAGUCAAAUUGGUAUCAAGGCUAGCAGGGAGCGGCCAAACGUGAGGAAUGAUAGCCGGACUGCCAAACAAACAGUGAGUGUCCUGCAUGGAGCCGGUGAGUCCGCUGUUUACCCCUCACAGAGUAAAGCCAAUAAAGUGAAGUCUAAGUCCAAUGCCUACUGCGCCUACUGUGAGAGCAACGAACACUAUCUUAGUCAGUGUACUGAGGUUGCCAAGCUCUCCAAAGAGCAGCUGAAAGAAUGGAUUCAGACUAAUAAACGCUGCUGGCGUUGCGCACGCGCCCACUUAGCGGUCCAUUGCACAUUGAAGAAGCCUUGCAGCCGUUGCCAGGGCAAGCACCUACUCGCCCUCCAUGAGAUAAAUGCCAAGCCAGAGAGGGGCCCCCAAGAAGUGGCAGUUAAAGAAGAGAGCUGUUUAGUUAGCUCUUCCUCACGUUCCCUCUACCUCGAUCGCCCAGACGCAGGGAAUAAAGUGAUGUUAAAGGUUGUGCCCAUCCUCAUUCACUACGGAGCCCGGACCAUGAACACCUUUGCAAUUUUAGAUGACGGGUCUGAAAGGUCGAUGCUCCUACCGAGUGCAGUCAAAGCUUUGGGCAUUAAAGGCAUACCCGAAGACCUUCCCUUGCGCACAGUGAGGCAAGACAUUGAGGUGCUUCCUGGAUAUACAGUGUCGUUCCGCAUCUCCUCCGCUACCAAUCCUCACACAAGCUACCAGAUCAAAGGUGCGUUCACUGCAAGCCGCCUUAGCCUCGCCAAACACACCUACCCGGUGGAACGCCUUAAGCAGAAGUUCAGACACCUCCAAGGCCUUCCCAUUCCUGCCUUCACAGAAGCGGAACCGUCACUUCUGAUUGGAUCAGAUCAACCGCACCUAGUCACACCGAUCCAACCAGUCAGGUUAGGUCCGCCUGGCAGCCCUGCAGCCAUCCACACCAGACUAGGGUGGACUCUCCAAGGCCCAGUUCAGCCCAUGGGGCGGCACACCAACUCAGUACAGUGUUUGUUCACCUCUUCCCCACCCCAGCUUGAAGAGCUGUACAAACAUGUUGAGAGGCUGUGGCAAAUGGACACGAUCCCUCAUCGACCAGAGAAGGAAGUAAUGCGGUCAAAGCAAGACAAAAUGGCGGUGGCUCUGCUCAAAGCUAAAACUGUACGUGUCAAUGUGGAAGGCACAAGAAGGUAUGCUACACCCCUGCUUCGCCAUCCAGACAUGCCGCUCCUCAAAGCCACUAGAGACUCUGUUAUGCCACUGCUGCGCAGUACCGAAAGACGUCUAGAGAAAAAUCCUACCCAGGCUGAAGCCUAUAAGAAAGAGAUACAGAAGCUCCUAGACUCCGGUGCAGUACGUGAAGUCACCUCAGAGACGCCACAUGAAGAAGAGUGGUUCAUUCCUCACCAUCUUGUCAGCCAUAAUGGGAAGUGCCGCCUAGUCUUCAACUGUUCUCACCAAUUCCUUGGACAGUCCCUCAAUCAAUACCUCCUGGCUGGCCCAACCCUCGGAGCUUCCUUACUGGGGGUAUUGUUGAGAUUCCGCGAGCGCCCGAUAGCUGUCAGUGGAGAUAUAAAGGGCAUGUUUCACCAAGUCCGCGUACUCCCUGAGGAUCGCUCCUUACUCCGAUUCCUGUGGCGAGACUUGAAUGUGGAUGAAACCCCCCGAGUAUUUGAGUGGCAUGUUCUUCCUUUCGGCACAACCUGCAGUCCAUGUUGCGCAACUUAUGCUCUGCAGUGUCACGUGGAGAAUUCAGGUGACACUGAGGGCGACCUCAAGUUUUCCGUGGAGAACUGUUUUUAUGUAGAUAAUUGUCUACAAAGCCUACGCACCCCAGACCAAGCUAAGUCGUUAGUUACUCGCCUUCGAGCCCUGUUAGCCACAGCGGGGUUUGACUUGCGUCAGUGGGCCUGCAACGACGCAACUGUCCUGAGCCACCUUCCUCAGGAGGCUCGGUCAGAGAGUUUGGACAAGUGGUUAACUCAAGACAAUGCUGACCCCCAAGAAUCCACUCUAGGCCUUAGUUGGAACUGGGAGACAGACUCUUUGAGCUACAAGCACAGGCCUGUAUCCUAUGAAACCCUGACUCUGAGAAAUAUCUACAAAGUCCUAGCCUCUCAGUAUGAUCCCCUUGGCUAUUUGCUGCCCUAUUCUACUCGAGCCAAGCUUAUUGUUAGGCAGCUUUGGGACAGACAGCGUGGGUGGGACGAUGCAAACCUCCCCUCUGAAUUGGUGCAGGCCUGGUCUAAUUGGGAGGGUGAGCUUGAAUACCUACCUGCUGUGUCUCUUCCCCGUCCCUAUGUUUCCACAGAGUCCAAGCUGGAGAGCACGUCCUACGAAGUUCACAUCUUUGCUGAUGCUUCGGAAAAGGCGUAUGGAGCUGUCGCCUACCUACGAACCGAAGAUGGAGAGGGUCGCGUGCAGCUGUCCUUCAUCCUUGCACGAUCACGCGUCGCUCCCAAACGCACACAGUCCAUUCCCCGCCUGGAGCUCUGUGCAGCACUGGUAGCGGCACAGCUCGCCCACCUCCUCAAGAAAGAGUUGACCCUGGAAGUGACUCAAAUAGUGUUGUGGUCUGAUUCCACUACUGUCCUGGCAUGGUUACAAUCCCAGUCAUGCCGUUUCAAAGUGUUCGUUGGGACGAGAGUAACUGAGAUCCAAGAGCUCACUCAGGACUGCAACUGGCGCUACGUCGGAUCAGCCGAUAAUCCUGCCGACGACCUGACGCGGGGUAAGUCCCUGCGAGACCUUGCAAAACCUAACAGAUGGUCUUUGGGACCCCCCUUCCUCCAACAGAGCUCGGACACCUGGCCCGAGAAGCCCGUGACAGAGCCACUUGCCGACUCGUCUGAACUCCGCAAGGCCACCUUCUGCGCCCUGGCAGUUACCACACCCACCAGUUCAAGUGGUCCGGUGUAUGAUACAUGGCAGCAGCUAAUCCAAGCCAAAGUCCAGGAGCUUCAGGGACAAAGCUCACCUGGGUCCUCACCAAGUGCACGUGAGUACCAGCGUGCUGAGAGAGAGGUAUUGCUGCAGGCCCAACAACAGUCAUUCCCUGAGGACUUUAAGCUGCUGAGCGAGGGGAAGCCAGUCCUCUCUAAAAGUCGCCUGCUGACCUUAUCCCCUGAGAUGGACAGAUCUUCUGGCUUGUUACGGGUAGGUGGUCGACUACGACGUUCUGAAGGGCUCAGUGACUCUGUAUUGCACCCAAUUGUUCUGGACCCCUCACAUCCUGUCACUAAGCUGCUCAUCCAGAAGUAUGACGCAGACCUAAAUCAUCCCGGUCCAGAGCGAGUCUACGCCGAAAUGCGUAGGUCCUUCUGGAUCCUCCGAGGCAGAGAAGCAGUUCGCCGACACCAGCAUUCCUGUGUAGAAUGCAGACGAUGGAGAGCUAGACCAUCUAUCCCCAAAAUGGCGGAUCUCCCAACCGCCCGCCUUAGACUUUUCAAGCCUGCCUUCUACUCAACUGGAGUUGACUGUUUUGGGCCGAUGCUGGUUAAAGUGGCCAGACGUCAUGAGAAACGCUGGGGGAUAAUUUUCAAGUGCCUGACUACUCGAGCAGUUCAUCUGGACCUCCUGCAGAGUAUGGAUGCCGACGCUUUCUUGAUGGCUCUACGCAGAUUCAUCGCUCGACGGGGAGUCCCUGCCGAGCUGUGGUCCGACCAGGGGACCAACUUCAAGGGCGGAGAGCGCGAACUCAAAGAGGCCUUCGCUAACAUGGCUCCCACCCUGCAGCAACAACUUGCUUCUCAAAAGAUAAAAUUCUGCUUCAACCCCCCGGCAGCCCCUCAUUUUGGUGGAGUGUGGGAGCGGGAGAUCCGCUCCGUAAAGGCUGCUCUGCACACCGGCGUUGGAGCACAACCAGUCCACGAAGAUGUCCUCCUCACCGUUCUGUUGGAAGUAGAAUCUAUCCUCAACUCCAAACCACUUGGAUACGUCUCCAGUGAUGUUGCCGACAUCGAUCCCGUGACCCCGAACACGUUGCUGAUGGGGCGGCCAGAUGGAUCGCUUCCGCAAGUUGUGUAUCCAGAGACAGAGACUCUGAGUCGGAAACGAUGGCGGCACUCACAAGUCCUUGCUGACCAAUUCUGGUCAAGGUACAUAAAGGAGUACCUCCCUACCCAACACAUCAGGCAAAAGUGGCACUCAGCUACCCCCGAGCUCCAAGAGAAGGCCGUCGUCAUGAUUGUGGAACCACAGCUUCCCCGAGCUUCGUGGCCCAUUGGACAGGUGACCAAGGUCCACAGGAGUGAUGAUGGGUGUAUUAGGUCAGCUGAUGUAGACGUUAAAGGUCAUGUCUACACCCGUCCCGUUGCUCGCCUGGUGUCGUUGCCAGCUCUUCCAUCCGGUGAAGAGUAGACUUUCUGUGAAAAGAUGCCUUUAUUUGGGAGCAAAUGUGCAUGCACAUUUGGGGGCGGCUGUAAUAAAGGCUCAGCCCUCGUCCUAUUAUUUUUGGAUUAAGGUGUAUUUUAUUUUCUUAAGUUGUUCUCCCGCGGUUUUCCUGUGGGUGUCGCUAUCUGACAAGGCCUGGUUUUUACUUGUGUUGGCUAGUAAGCAACUGAGCAUUGAGCACAUUGAGCAUCUUUAAUCUGUGCAAUCCUUCCUUUUCCUCGUUCCUUGGUGUGCGUCCAGGCACAUCAGUGAAUGAUUACAAACUGGUUUUAUACCUGGGUUUAUACUUCACGUCCUGUGGAGUUAAAUUCCUCAUUUGUACAUCAAGGAAUAUUUGGACAAUUUAAGGCAAAUUAAAGCCAUUCUAAAGCAGCAGUGGUUUCAACGCCUUUUUUCCUGUGCUCUGACCGGCACACCAUCCUGGCUACAGUUAGUCCUUACCACGAACUAGCCCUAGAACCUCACCUCACGAACAAUAACGAUCUGCAUCGUAUAUCACUUUGUGCCUUUCCACCUCCAUGAUGAAGCGCUCAUCAUCCAUCUUUGCCCGUGUUUAAACCGUGAUUAGGCAGGCACCUGGGCUUUUGACGUCAGGCCCAGCUCCGCCCAUUUUGUCGGAUGCGUGUCCAGCAAAAAUAGAAAAUAGCCUAUACCAUCCGGCGGGCAUGCGGCACGCCGGAGGUGGUUCGCAGUCAAAUCCGGAGCACUGACACGGCCAGUAUAAGUUUAACAAUAGGAUAUAAUGGGAACGGAUUGGCUCCGGCGCUAUUUUUUACCGGAGACGGACCGGAACCGCAACGAUCAUGCAUCUGGUGUACUUGGGCCUUUAGAGCCCCUCA